rnacentral:misc_RNA from 1 species
AACUGAUACUACCUGCGGGAACCUGCGGAAGGAUCAUUACCGAGUUUACAACUCCCAAACCCCCUGUGAACUUAUACCAUUACUGUUGCUUCGGCGGGUUAUUGCCCCGGGGAAAGGACCAGGUGCCGUCAAGGUUCCCUGCCCGCCCCCGGAAACAGGCGCCUGCCGGGGGACUCAAACUCUUCUGUAUUUUUUAUUUUGCUGUUAUACUGUCUGAGUAAAAAACUAUAAAUGAAUCAA